AUCCUUUCAACGAAUGGUAGACGGUGGAUCGAUCUCUGUGGAAAGACGCUAUUGGUACCCCAUCCAAAUUUGACGGACUCUUUUUGGACCCUUCCCAUAAGUCCAUCCGUUUGAAACGGUUGGGAUUCUGGACAAAUGUGAAACUCCGAUGCCCACAGGGCACAUCCACCAUUUACCAUCCGAUAACAGCUGAUCUGAACAGCUGUGGCCAAUCAAAAUUUGUUAAAGUGGAUUUUGCCAGACCAAAAUGAACAAUUUACCAACUAUUUUGGCUGUUGUACAACAGCAAUAUAUGAAGUUGAGUCAGGUUUUAUUGGCAGCCAAUUCAGAGGAGUGGAAUGACGACGAAUUGGAUCUGUUCGAAAGCAUUUUUUCUGCAAAAGAGCAAAUGCCACGAAGUAUUUGGAUGCUGAAGCGAUACGGGACCUUUUGGGAAAAGGAUAUACCGGAAAUCAACUACGAGUUCUUCAAAGAGAGCUUGGUGGACCAACUAGGUGUUUUGCGGAAGAAGCACACAAACUGGCGAAAUGCCAUUCCUCUUGAAAAGCGGAUUGCUAUAGACUUGUACACCCUGGGAUAAUCUGCGGAAUAUCGUUCAGUCGGAAGACUUUUUGGAGUUGCACAGAACCCUAUGUGUUUGCCCAUAGAGUAAGAAUCUAAAUAGAGACACCAUUUGCUCUGCCGCUCUCUUUUGAGACUUUGCCAAUGAUGCCACCCAGGCGAAAAUCGAUAAUUUACCUAGUUUUUAAGACGUUCGAUGUGACCUCGUAAUUCGUUCCCGCGGUGAGUUUUUUGGGAAAUUAAAUAUCUGCACUGCUUUUAUACACUGUUUUGUUUUUGUAAUUGAACCUCACCACUAUUGCUGUUGCUUUGCAAUUGUUGGAAAUUUUGAUAAAUCGAAGUUAGCUUCAAACUUGACCUUGAAUUGGCUCUUAGAAGAGGUUGGGCAGAGGUUCGGGCAGAGCAAAUAGUGUCUCUAUAUAGAUUCUAACUCUAUGGUUUGCCAGCGAGUUCAUGUCACCGGACUAUCUUACUCCAGAAAAAGUAAACUUGUGAGUCAAAUGAUUUAAAUAAAUUGGAUUUCCCCAGGGUCUAGGUGCAAUUGGUAAGACAUAAAUUCAUUAAAUCAGUUCAUGGUCUUAUCAAUGUAUAACGUGAAAAUGGUUGUCACAUCGAAAUAAAACCGUCAGCAGCAGAAGCAGUCGAUCACCACAACUACAAUGACUGGUACUCAAUAUUACUAUUCGCUCUCGUGGAUUACAGAUACAGAUUUACCUAUGUUAACAUCGGCUCUGCUGGGCGCUGCAACGACCCCACUAUAUUUCAAAAGUCCAGGAAGGCAAGGAAAAUGGUGUCUUAUCCGAUUCUUUAGAAAAACCCCAGUGAAAUUUGUGGCGUUCAAGUGCAAGUGACCUAAGCGAGCAACCAAAUCGGACUAAUAUGUCUGCAGAUUUUAGCCAGCCAGCUGAAAAAAUAAGAGCAGCCAUUUACCAAUAUUGUCUAAAUGGAAUUCGUUGAUUUUCUCAACAGCUCCAACAAAUCCGACUGGAAUUUAGCUUGGCUGUUCUUAACAUUCUCAACAUUAUUUCUGUCUGCGCUCCCUGCUCCUCCAGCCUUUCUCGAGCUAUCUCCACAAGUUCCGACUUGUGGUCCACCUUUGUGCGCUUAGCGGGGGGCGCAGUGCUGCCUGAGCGUUGACUGCUGCUGCAGAUAGAGGCUUCCCUGUCAUUGGGGUCUACAUCCAAGAUCUCCACAAAGUAUUCCCUAGUAUCUGCUAUAAAUACAUUUUAUUAGAUCAUAUUAAGCCACAAAUAUAAGUGUGAGACAUACUGUCGUUCUCCAA